rnacentral:misc_RNA from 1 species
AAACCUUCAAGCUCUGCUUGGUGUUGGGUGUUUGUUCCGCCUCUGCGCGUGGACUCGCCUCAAAUCUAUUGGCAGCCGGUCAGUUGGCUUUCGCGCGCAGCACAUUGCGUAGCGGCUCCAGCUUGCCCCCUACCAUUAAGCUACUCUACAUC